AGUGAACGCUGGCGGUAGGCCUAAUACAUGCAAGUCGAACGGCAGCACAGUAAGCGUUUGCCUUUGCGGUUGGCGAGGGGCGGACGGGUGAGGAAUACAUCGGCAUCUACUUUUUCGGGGAGGAUAACGUAGGGAAACUUAUGCUAAUACCGCAUACGUCCUACGGGUGAAAGCAGCGGAUCAUCGGGCCUUUCGCGUCUCAAUUAGCCGAUGUCGGAUUAGCUAGUUGGCUUGGUAAAGUCCCACCAAGGCAACGAUCCGUAGCUGACCUGAGAGGAUGAUCGGCCACACUGGAACUGAGACACGGUCCAGACUCCUACGGGAGGCAGCAGUGGGGAAUCUUCGGCAAUGGGCGAAAGCCUGAUCCAGCCAUGCCGCGUGAGUGAUGAAGGCCUUCGGAUUGUAAAGCUCUUUUGUUGGGGAAGAAAAGCAGUGGGUUUAUCCCCGGAUGUUCUGACGGUACCCAAUGAGUAAGCACCGGCUAACUUCGUG
rnacentral:rRNA from 1 species